AUUGAACGCUGGCGGCAGGCCUAACACAUGCAAGUCGAGCGAGCGGCGGACGGGGGAGUAAUGUCUGGGAAACUGCCCGAUGGAGGGGGAUAACAACAGGAAACGGUAGCUAAUACCGCACACCAUCAGAUGUGGCCCGAUGGGAUUAGCUAGUGGGGGGGGUAACGGCUCACCAGGGCGCCGAGCCCUAGCUGGUCUGUGAGGAGGACCAGCCACACUGGAACUGAGACACGGUCCAGACUCCUACGGGAGGCAGCAGUGGGGAAUAUUGCACAAUGGGCGAAAGCCUGAGGCAGCCAUGCCGCGUGUAUGAAGAAGGCCUUCGGGUUGUAAAGCACUUUCAGCGGGGAGGCGUUACCCGCAGAAGAAGCACCGGCUAACUCCGUGCCAGCAGCCGCGGUAAUAC
rnacentral:rRNA from 1 species